CCCCUUCAUCUUAUCUUCUAGCUUCUCACUCAGUACCCUAUUGAGUUCUUGUACGUCAUGCUGCAUGAAGGAAUCAUACGUAUCCCAUCCAAAAGAUUUGGUCAGUUCCUUUGUUGCAACACUGGUGUCAUUAUAUUGCAGCUUAUAGAAUAAACUCUGUAGAGCCAAAGGAAUGCUUCCAGUAGGCAUGUCAUUCUCAGUUGUUGGCAUGUGGUACACAGCCUUUCUAAAAUAAGGAAUGUGGUAGAGUGUCUGUAGGAGAGAAUUCAUAUAACAUGUAGCUCCUUGGUUCUUCAAUCCUACAUACCCAGUCUCCUUUUUCGAGUCAUAUGACCAAUAAUCCAGAACCUUACGAACAGCAACUUCAG
rnacentral:misc_RNA from 1 species